GGAUUAAGAACGUAGCGAAAUGCGAUAAGUAAUGUGAAUUGCAGAAUUCCGUGAAUCAUCGAAUCUUUGAACGCACAUUGCGCCCUCUGGUAUUCCGGGGGGCAUGCCUGUCCGAGCGUCAUUUGCAACCCUCAAGCCCGGCUUGUGUGAUGGGUGCCGUCCCCUACGGGACGCGCCCCGAAGGCAAUGGCGGCGUCGCGGUUAUCCGAUCAGCCAAAGUGUAUGGGGCUUUGUCACUCACUUUACGGCCCGGACCGGCGCCAGUCCGAAUCAAUCUUUUUUCUAAAGUUGACCUCGGAUCAGGUAGGGAUACCCGCUGAACUUAAGCAUAUCAAUAAGCGGAGGA
rnacentral:misc_RNA from 1 species